rnacentral:rRNA from 1 species
AUUGAACGCUGGCGGCAGGCCUAACACAUGCAAGUCGAGCGAGCGGCGGACGGGUGAGUAAUGUCUGGGGAUCUGCCCGAUAGAGGGGGAUAACUACUGGAAACGGUGGCUAAUACCGCCUACUAUCGGAUGAACCCAUAUGGGAUUAGCUAGUAGGUGGGGUAAAGGCUCACCUAGGCGACGAUCCCUAGCUGGUCUGAGAGGAUGGUCAGCCACACUGGAACUGAGACACGGCCCAGACGCCUACGGGAGGCAGCAGUGGGGAAUAUUGCACAAUGGGCGCAAGCCUGAUGCAGCCAUGCCGCGUGUAUGAAGAAGGCCUUGGGGUUGUAAAGUACUUUCAGCGGGGAGGCGUUACCCGCAGAAGAAGCACCGGCGAACUACGUGCCAGCAGCCGCGGUAAUUC